AUUGAACGCUGGCGGCAGGCCUAACACAUGCCAGUCGAACGGUAACAGGAAGAAGCUUGCUUCUUUGCUGACGAGUGGCGGACGGGUGAGUAAUGUCUGGGAAACUGCCUGAUGGAGGGGGAUAACUACUGGAAACGGUAGCUAAUACCGCAUAACGUCGCAAGACCAAAGAGGGGGACCUUCGGGCCUCUUGCCAUCGGAUGUGCCCAGAUGGGAUUAGCUAGUAGGUGGGGUAACGGCUCACCUAGGCGACGAUCCCUAGCUGGUCUGAGAGGAUGACGGGGCACACGGGAAAGAAUAAAAGGGACUGACGCCAAGGGGAGGCAGCAGAGGGGAAUAUUGGACAAUGGGCGCAAGCGUGAUGAAGCAAUGACGGGGGUAUGAAGAAGGCCUUCGGGUUGUAAAAUACUUUCAGCGGGGAGGAAGGGAGUAAAGUUAAUACCUUUGCUCAUUGACGUUACCCGCAGAAGAAGCACCGGCUAACUCCGUG
rnacentral:rRNA from 1 species